AUUGAACGCUGGCGGCAGGCCUAACACAUGCAAGUCGAACGAGUGGCGGACGGGUGAGUAAUGUCUGGGAAACUGCCUGAUGGAGGGGGAUAACUACUGGAAACGGUAGCUAAUACCGCAUACCAUCAGAUGUGCCCAGAUGGGAUUAGAUUAUAGGUGGGGUAAAGGCUCACCUAGGCGACGAUCCCUAGCUGGUCUGAGGGGAUGACCAGCCACACUGGAACUGAGACACGGUCCAGACUCCUACGGGAGGCAGCAGUGGGGAAUAUUGCACAAUGGGCGCAAGCCUGAUGCAGCCAUGCCGCGUGUAUGAAGAAGGCCUUCGGGUUGUAAAGUACUUUCAGCGGGGAGGCGUUACCCGCAGAAGAAGCACCGGCUAACUCCGUGCCAGCAGCCGCGGUAAUUC
rnacentral:rRNA from 1 species